rnacentral:rRNA from 1 species
UUGAACGCUGGCGGCAGGCCUAACACCUGCAAGUCGAGCGGAUGAAGGGAGCUUGCUCCUGGAUUCAGCGGCGGACGGGUGAGUAAUGCCUAGGAAUCUGCCCGGUAGUGGGGGAUAACGUCCGGAAACGGGCGCUAAUACCGCAUACGUCCUGAGGGAGAAAGUGGGGGAUCUUCGGACCUCACGCUAUCAGAUGAGCCUAGGUCGGAUUAGCUAGUUGGUGGGGUAAAGGCCUACCAAGGCGACGAUCCGUAACUGGUCUGAGAGGAUGAUCAGUCACACUGGAGCUGAGACACGGUCCAGACUCCUACGGGAGGCAGCAGUGGGGAAUAUUGGACAAUGGGCGAAAGCCUGAUCCAGCCAUGCCGCGUGUGUGAAGAAGGUCUUCGGAUUGUAAAGCACUUUAAGUUGGGAGGAAGGGCAGUAAGUUAAUACCUUGCUGUUUUGACGUUACCAACAGAAUAAGCACCGGCUAACUUCGUG